rnacentral:sRNA from 1 species
AAACAUUUGAUUAUUUUUUUGUGCAGUUCUGUAACCCUUUUGUUCGAUAUUAAAACGUUUCCAAACUUUGUAAAAAAACAAUGAAGGAAAUGCAGUAAAUUUGAACAGUUUUAUUAAGAUCGGAUGUACCAUAGCAUGUAAAAUAAAUAAAAAUGGACUGACAUCAAACGUAUCUUUUAACUGAUAUUUUAUGGUUAAUAUCAAUUUUUUGGAUUUUUGUGACAGUCCUUUUCUGGAUAUCUUUUUUUUCGAUUUCUCUUUUUUUUUUGAGAGUCAAGUUUGUCAACCCAACAAAUGCUCCUCGUGCAAGCGUGAGGUGUGUUCAUGUUCAAGGUAAAUGUGUUGACCACAUAAUAACUUUGUACCAAAUACAUUUGAGGGAAGGUCCUAUUUCUCUUUUACUGUCUCAUCACUUAUUUAUUAAUAAUCUGACAUCUAACAUUUUUUGUGCAAGUUGUAUAUUUUUGCUUGUUAUUGUAAAAACUGAACUUCCGAUUUUGCUACCCUUAUAAAACCAAUACGCUAUUUUACAGUUAUCUUUGAAGGUAUAUUUUUUUCACACAACUGUAAAUUAAAAGUGCAAACUUUAGUAUACACAUGUUUGUUUGUAUGUUUAAAGCAACCCUGGCUAAGAAACAGGCUUUGAAAAAGCUACUGCAAUCUAAAUGUUGCGUUAUAAUCCUGGUAAUUGCUUCCUGUGUUGUAAAGUUUGUUAAAAAAUUUUGUCUCUAUACAGUUUGAUAAUCGGAAUGCAAACAAUUUAUUUUUAUUUUUAAUACACCUAAAUCUAAAUUGCAAUCUUGUGUAUCCUUUGAUUCCCAUUAUAACAUCGGCGAAUGUUGUUUUUUGCCCUCUCCAUUCCAAAUUGUAUCCUUAUGCAUUUUCAUAAACAUUAUAUGUGACUGAUAUGUUCACUAUCAAUAAUAAAAUAUGUUGCUUCUUUGAUUAUAUUGAAUAAAUAUUAUGAAGAUUGACAGU